CAGUAGCCGCGGUAAUACAGAGGGUGCGAGCGUUAAUCGGAUUUACUGGGCGUAAAGCGUGCGUAGGCGGCUUCUUAAGUCGGAUGUGAAAUCCCUGAGCUUAACUUAGGAAUUGCAUUCGAUACUGGGAAGCUAGAGUAUGGGAGAGGAUGGUAGAAUUCCAGGUGUAGCGGUGAAAUGCGUAGAGAUCUGGAGGAAUACCGAUGGCGAAGGCAGCCAUCUGGCCUAAUACUGACGCUGAGGUACGAAAGCAUGGGGAGCAAACAGGAUUAGAUACCCCCGUAGUCCUGUCUCUUAUACC
rnacentral:rRNA from 1 species